rnacentral:rRNA from 1 species
UACGGGGGGGGGCAAGCGUUGUUCGGAAUUACUGGGCGUAAAGGGCUCGUAGGCGGCCAACUAAGUCAGACGUGAAAUCCCUCGGCUUAACCGGGGAACUGCAUCUGAUACUGGAUGGCUUGAAUCCGGGAGAGGGAUGCGGAAUUCCAGGUGUAGCGGUGAAAUGCGUAGAUAUCUGGAGGAACACCGGUGGCGAAGGCGGCAUCCUGGACCGGCAUUGACGCUGAGGAGCGAAAGCCAGGGGAGCAAACGGG